GUUAAAAUAUAGUUUUUAUUUUAACGUAUAAGCAACAUUUAAAAUAAGUUGUGUUUUCAACCCGGAGUUUAAGAUUUUACCAAAUUUUAUUUCAACAAUGAAUUAACUUUGAAAUCAGGUUGCGAUUUUAACAUAACAAUUGCAAUAGGCCUAUAUUUAUUCAAUAUUUUUCCAACGUUAACUUUAAAUAUAGUUUUUAUUUCAAUGUAGAAUCAACAUUGAAAAUGUGUUAUGUGUUUCUACAAAGUAGGCCUACCCAUUAUUUACUCAACAUUAUUUCAACAAUAAAAACGUUGAAAACUGGUUGAGAUAUGAAAAUCACAGUAAUAACAUAAAUUUCAACAUCUUUUCAAUGUCAAAUUAAAAUGUAGUUUGUAUUUUAACGUAUAAUCAACAUUUAGAAUGUUAUUUUUUUCAACCAAGUUUAAAUUUCUUUAACUCAACCUCAACUUGAUAUGAAAUUUCAUAGAAAUAAUUGUACAAGAUCUAUUAAAGUUUAACUCCAUGGUGGUGUAUAAAAAAACUCAUAGGCCUAUUAUGAGAGCAUAUAUGAUCUUUAAUCAUUAUGGUAAUUACAUUGGUUCUCUGUCCUUGAAAGUGUGGCAAGUAAUGGGCUAAUCGGAUUAGGUCAUUAGGUACAGACCAAUCAGAAACAAAUGCUCAUUUUUUGAAGUAUCAUCAGUUGCUGUAAAGCUGUUUUCAUACACAGUUUACAUACUAAAGAAUUUCAGCAUUAUCAAAUAAAUGGUUUUCAAUCCAUUGACAGAAAGCCAUGUUGGUUGCAAUAUUGUUUGUGGUAGACACUGGAAAAAAACCCACUAUUGAAUGUGUAUUUAUUUUGCCUCUUGGUACAAAACUGAUGGAAGAGCAGCCAUGAUGAAGCAGUAAAGGUUCUUGGAUACCUUGCUUCAAUACCUCUGGUCGGACAAGAAAAGACUUGGCUAAGGAGUAGAGCUUCAAAUAAUUUAUCACCAAGAAAGUUACUGAUUUAAACCGAAACCUGUAACGCGAAAGAUUCUUAAUUAAGCUAAGUGGACGUGCAAUAGUAGCUGUUGUUAUAUUACAAAAACUCUGAUUUAUACAUG